rnacentral:rRNA from 1 species
GCGCACCAGGCGCGAAAACUUUACAAUGUGCGAAAGCACGAUAAGGGAACUCUGAGUGCCUCCUAAGGAGGCUGCUCAGGUGUCUAAAAAGCACCUGGAGUAAGGGCUGGGUAAGACCGGUGCCAGCCGCCGCGGUAACACCGGCAGCCCAGGUGGUAGCCACUUUUAUUGGGUCUAAAGCGUCCGUAGCCGGUUGAGUAAGUUCCUUGGGAAAUUUGGCUGCUCAACAGUCAAGCUUCCAGGGAAUACUGCUCGACUUGGGACUGGGAGAGGUCAGAGGUACUCCGAGGGGUAGGGGUGAAAUCCAUUAAUCCCUGGGGGACCACCGGUAGCGAAGGCGUCUGACCAGACCAGGUCCGACGGUGAGGGACGAAGGCUAGGGUCGCGAACCGGAUUAGA